GCCAAGGAUGAGAGAGAAAAUCUGAAUCUGAACUUCUUGUGUUUGCAUGGUGCUGAAAAUGCGUGAGAACUAGGACGGUCUGAGGC